rnacentral:lncRNA from 1 species
GUCAUAAGCAGUCAAGGGUCAGCAUGGGGAGGGACAUGUCCCUGCACUCAUUACUGUUCUCAGCACUAGCAAACACCCGACCAAAGCUACUUUGGGAAGAAGGGCUUGCUUUGGCUCCGCAUUUGAGGAUGCAGUCACUGUGGCGCAAGGGAAGGCAAGUCAACAGGGGUAGAAUCACUGUGGUGGGCGGGAAGGCAAAUCAACAGGGGUAGAAGGCAAUGGAUCCACAGCCAGGAAGUGAGAAUUAAACGCUGGUGUGCAGCUUGUUUUCUUCUUCUUACUCUGUGAAGACCCUAUCCAAGGAUGCUGCUGCCACAGUUAGUUAAGGUGGGGGUAGCAUUUCAGUUUACCUAACCUAGAAACUCCCUCACAGAUAUGCCCAGAGCUUUGUUUCCAAGUGAUUUUUUCAUUUGUUUGUUUUUGUUUUUUGAGACCCGGUCUCUAUGUAGAAUUGACUGUAAUGGAACUUACUCUGUAGACCAGGCCAACCUUGAACUAGUAGAGGUCCUCCUAUUUCUGCCUUCCCAGUGUUAUGAGUAAAGGCAGGAGCUAUCAUGCCUGGCUCCAUGGUGAUUCCAAUUCUGUCAAAAUGACAAUCAAGAUUAACCAUCAGUUCAAAAAGCAGAGAGGGCCAGUUUAGCUAUUUGAUUUGGAUGUCCAGGGUAAGCAAAAUGGGAGGCUCAGGGCACUUUUCAAUUAUUUGCCUGAGUGGCUGAACAUGAAAGCCCAGCCAAGUCACUACUGUUUGCCUGCCAUCACUGCUCCCCAUCUGUAGGAUGACCCACACACACACACUCCGCCCCUCCACCAGAUCCUCUGUGGAACGUCCUCUUAGUCCUCUUAGUUCACCCAGGCUGUAAUCAUGAGGCACAGUGGAUGGGUGGCUCAAAUAGCACAUCACUUCCCAGAGUGUCUGAGGCCAAGAGGCCUGGGCCAUAUCUCCUCGUGGGUUGCAGGGUGUCCUCAGAUGGUGAGAUGCAGCACUUCGGUCUCCUUUUACGAGGAUUCCAAUUCCUUCUGGGAGCUCCCACCUCAAGCCCAUUUCCGCAUACUCCUUUAAAAGGGUGAAGGGCUCAGCGUGUGGAGUUUUGAAGUGACACGGUAAGUGCUGGGUUAUAGGGUAUCCCAAGUCUGCUCAAGGCUCAGGCUGCUCAAAGAGGCAGAAUACGGGAGUUUCGACUGGGCUUACCCCACACUGACGCAGAGUGGGUGCCAGGCUAUGUGAAGCUGCUGGACACUGCUCCAGGGAUGGAGGAGCACAGCCUGAAGUCCCAGGGACUGCGGGAGUUGGCUCCGGGGUUCCUGGACCUGCACAGAGGCCAGGAACAUCAGGCUCUCAGGCUCUUGGGCACCCAGGCACUGCUGAGAGCUGAGAAAGAGCUGAGAGCCGAGAAAGAACUGAGAACAGAGUGGAGGUCCUUGGGCUGGAUCUAGUCUGGGGCCGAGGGGGACAAGAGGAGAGCCCUCCAGCUGGGUCCCUCAGGGAGAGGAGUUCUUGGCUUGUUCAAUAGGUGGCUUGGCUUAGUGGAGGCCAUGGCUAGGAGCUCUGAGAGGCCUCCUGUGGGAGAUUAGACAGGGCUCUUUAGAUGAAGACCUGCUCCAUUGCUCCCCAUAGCGGAUCCCAAUGAAAAAAGACAGUCCAUGGCUUUAAGGCAUUUAUUGUCACGGUGGAGAGUGACAAGGAGUAAAACCGUACCCUGGUUUCUCAGAGCGGGCCUGAUGUUAAAUACCGUUUUCAGGGAGGAGUGUCUGAGAAGGGGAAUUUAUUGGCUAAGCCCUUCAGACCUUUAGGUGCCUCAUUAAAAUGGAGAUCUGUCUUGAGGCUAUGUGACCUGUGGUCACAUCUUCUACCUAUGGUGGAGCUUUGGGCAUUGCCCUUACGUGACUGAUGCCCACAGACCUAAGGAGAGCUGUGGCCUCAUGUCAGGAGCCUGGUGUCCAGGAACGUGGCAAAAUGGUAGGGUUAUCCCCUACGGGGUCACGGGGGUAACAAACCUUAGCUCAACCAGAAACCAGACUGCUUUUCACAGUCCCACAUGUAAGUGCCACUCUUGUGGCAAUAACAGCAGAUUCUGUGCCAGGCUGGUUAAAGAAAUGCUAUACCUGAGUCCUCAGUGGUACCUUGCCCGUCACAGGCCACCUGCUCAGGGAGUUAGCCAGGAGCUAGACCCUGCCUUAGUCUCCUGCCCCAUCACUCCCUAAGCAUCUGAGAUCUCUCUUCUGUUCAAAGUGGUCUUCUGCCAAUUUACUAACAUCCCUGUGCACAGGACUCUAUCCAACAGAACCUUCCAAGUGUUCAUGCUGUUAACAAGAAGCAACUUCAGGUGGGUCAGAACAGUGAGUAAGGGUCGCCCUCCCCCAUGCUUUCACCAGCAUUUGUUACCAUUUGUUUUCUUGAUGACCAUGCCGACUGGGGUAGGAUGGAAUCUCAAGGUACUUUUAAUUUGAAUUUCCCUGUUGGCUACUGAUGCUGAAUACUUUAAAUAGUGUUUACUAAGGCUAGAGAGACGGCUCAGUCAUUAAAGGCUAGGCUCGCAACCAAAAAAAGAAAAAAGGAAAACAAGAAAAAAAAAAAGUGUUUACUAGCUACUUGGUUUUUUUGGCUUUUUGUUUUUUGUCUUUGUUUGUUUGUUGGUUUUUUGAGAAAUCUGUUUAGUUCCUAAACCAUUUUCUUUUAUUAUUGUAUUGUGCUUUAGUUAGGAUUUCUAGUUCUGUGAAGAGACGCCAUAACCAAGGCAACUCUUAUAAAGGAAAACACUUAAUUGUGGCUUAUUUACAGUUCAGAGAUGUAGUCCAUUAUCAUCAUAGCAGGAAGCAUGGCAGCAUCCAGGUUGACAUUGUGCUGGAGAGGGAGUUGAGAGUUCUAUAUCUGGAUCAGCAAGCAUCAGGAAGAGAAAGGGACCCUGGGUCUGGUUUGGGCUUCUGAAACCUCAGAGCCCACCCCCAGUGACACACUUUGUCCAACAAGACCACAUCUACUUCAACAAGGCCACACCUCCCAUUAGUGCCACUUCCUUCGAGCCUAUAGAGGCAUUUUCAUUAACCUCUACAGGUUGUUUUGUUGAUGCUUAGCUUCUGAAGUUCUUUGAAUAUUCUAGAUACUAAUUCCUCUGUUGGAGAUAAAGCUCCCAAGGAUUUUCUCCCACUCUUCAAGCUAGCUCUUCCUUCACUGACAGCUUGGAGUACAGAAACAUUCUUGUUUCAUGGACUUCACUUCGUUGGUUGUUGACUAUUUCCUGAGCAUGGAGUCCUAGUAAAAGUCCUGGUCUACACCUGUCUCUUGAUGUGCAUUCCCUAGUUUGUCCUCUUGCAGUUUCAGGUCCUCUGUUGAAGUCUUUGAUCCACUUGAGGGUGGUUUUGUUGUUUGGGAUGAGAGAUAAUGAUCUAAUUUCAUUGUCCUAUAUGUCGAUGUCCAAUUCUCCAGACCAUGUGUUAAAAAGGCUAUCUUUUCUCCAAUGCAUGCUCUUUUCAUCUUUGGCAAAAUCAUGUGGAUAUAGUCAUGUGACCCCAUAUCAGGACCCUUUCUGUAUUCUAUUGAGCUGUAUGUCUGUUCUGUGCCAGUACCAUGUUUUCUUCCUUGGCUCUGUAGUAUUAAGGCGUGGUGAUAGCCCCACAAUGGUGAUAGUCCCCACACCAUUCUUCUUGCUCAGGGCUGCUUUGGCUCUCUGAGGUCUUCCACACUUCCACAUGUAUUUUAAGAUUAUUUCUUAUGAUCCUAAGAAAGAAUGCUACUAGACUUUUUAUUUGAGAUUGUGCUGUAUUCAUAGAUUUCUUUUGCUAGGGGAGUCAUUUCCUAGGAUACAUAGAGGUGGGAUCAUUUUAUAGACACUAGCUAGCACAUGUUCUCACUAAUGGGAUGUUGUCCCUGGGUGUUGUAUAAAUAAAGCUGUUGGAUAGGGUCACUUCAGCUUGUCUAAUGGCUCAAUGGGUCUGUCAGGGCCUCCUGGUCACUCAAGCUCUCCUGGAAGAGAAGGCUGAGUGGAACACCACUCCUUUUAACUCGCCAUAAAUACAGAGAGGAUGACAGGGACCAGAGUCCCCACAGCCCUGAGAACUUCCCCAAGCAGAGCUCCAGAUUCACCCUCCACUGAUAGUGCCCAUCAUGAGCAGGGACAGUGGCCACUAUCAGGGUCCCAGGUUCAUGCCCAUUUAUGACCUUUGUUCCUGUUAAGAGGUGAACUAUGUACUCCUGAAGCUCACAUGUCACAGAAUUAACCUUUAGUACCUGGAAAGGUGGCCUUAAUAGGAGACAGGCUAUUACAGGCUGAUAUAAGAAGACAAAGCAAACCUACAAGGGAAAGAUGAAAGAAAGAAAGAAAGAAAGAAAGAAAGAAAGAAAGAGAGAGAGAGAG